GACGAACGCUGGCGGCGUGCCUAACACAUGCAAGUCGAGCGAUGAACCCUUCGGGGGGAUUAGCGGCGGACGGGUGAGUAACACGUGGGUAACCUGCCUCAAAGAGGGGGAUAGCCUCCCGAAAGGGAGAUUAAUACCGCAUAAUAUCAAAUUAUCGCAUGGUAGUUUGAUCAAAGCAGUAAUGCACUUUGAGAUGGACCCGCGGCGCAUUAGCUAGUUGGUGAGGUAACGGCUCACCAAGGCGACGAUGCGUAGCCGACCUGAGAGGGUGAUCGGCCACAUUGGAACUGAGACACGGUCCAGACUCCUACGGGAGCAG
rnacentral:rRNA from 1 species